UCAUGAGGAACACUAGGAGCCACGGUUAU
rnacentral:piRNA from 1 species